ensembl:snRNA U6 U6 spliceosomal RNA
AUGCUCACUUUGGUAGCACAUAUACUAAAAUUGAAAUGAUAAUGAGCUUAGCAUGGCCCCUGAGCAAGGAUGACAUGCAAAUUCGUGAAGGGUUCCAUAACUUA